GAUGAAGAACGCAGCGAAAUGCGAAACGUAAUGUGAAUUGCAGAAUUCAGUGAAUCAUCGAGUCUUUGAACGCACAUUGCGCCCCCUGGUAUUCCGGGGGGCAUGCCUGUCCGAGCGUCAUUGCUGCCCUCAAGCACGGCUUGUGUGUUGGGCCUCCGUCCUCCUCCCGGGGGACGGGCCCGAAAGGCAGCGGCGGCACCGCGUCCGGUCCUCGAGCGUAUGGGGCUUCGUCACCCGCUCUUGUAGGCCCGGCCGGCGCUUGCCGACACAUCAAUCUUUUUUCCAGGUUGACCUCGGAUCAGGUAGGGAUACCCGCUGAACUUAAGCAUAUCAAUAAGCGGAGGA
rnacentral:misc_RNA from 1 species